AUGUUGCUCCUUCUCCUCGCCACCCGCCUUUUGUUCCGGGAAGAAGGGAGGGAUGAGCCCCCCUCCCAAACUGCCUGCUUCUCCCGACAGUGGAGCUUCCACUCCGGAUUGCUGCUCUGCCCAAUAGCUCUAGGGGCGCGCGCUUUCGGAAAGGGGAGGAGGGGCGGCAGGGACCCCCCCCGUGGAUGUUGCAGGAAAGGAAAGGAGAUUCGCGAGCGAGGACAAAGAGGCAGUGUCAGAGUGACUGACAAGCUGAGAUUCUUCCCAGUCAAAGGACCCAUUUUCAUGAUAGACAGUGUCUGUGGCUGGAGGCUCUACAUACAAGGAUUUCCUUUCCUCCCACUCUGAAGAAGGAGAUGGAGAAGACAGUCAGAAGUCCAGGAGAUGGGACAUCUUUCGUUUCAUUAGAAAGAGAAAUUAAAAUGUGUGAAAUGUGGAUUAUGCUUCAUAGAAUGAGCACACAUAAUUCACAUCAAUGACCUCCGACAGGGGAGAAACCAUUGAAAGGUAAGGACUGUAGAAAGAGUUUCACUGAUAUUGGAAAACUUA
rnacentral:lncRNA from 1 species